rnacentral:rRNA from 1 species
CAGCAGCCGCGGUAAUACGUAGGGUGCGAGCGUUAAUCGGAAUUACUGGGCGUAAAGCGUGCGCAGGCGGUUUUGUAAGACAGGCGUGAAAUCCCCGGGCUCAACCUGGGAAUGGCGCUUGUGACUGCAAAGCUAGAGUGCGGCAGAGGGGGAUGGAAUUCCGCGUGUAGCAGUGAAAUGCGUAGAUAUGCGGAGGAACACCGAUGGCGAAGGCAAUCCCCUGGGCCUGCACUGACGCUCAUGCACGAAAGCGUGGGGAGCAAACAGGAUUAGAGACCCGUGUAGUCCCUGUCUCUUAUAA